rnacentral:rRNA from 1 species
GAAUCUUCCGCAAUGGACGAAAGUCUGACGGAGCAACGCCGCGUGAGUGAUGAAGGUUUUCGGAUCGUAAAACUCUGUUGUUAGGGAAGAACAAGUACCGUUCGAAUAGGGCGGUACCUUGACGGUACCUAACACGAAAGCCACGGCUAACGACGUGCCAGAAGCCGCGGUAAUACGGAGGUGGCAAGCGUUGUCCGGAAUUAUUGGGCGUAAAGCGGGCGCAGGCGGUCUUUUAAGUCUGAUGUGAAAGCCCCCGGCUCAACCGGGGAGGGUCAUUGGAAACUGGGAGACUUGAGUGCAGAAGAGAAGAGUGGAAUUCCACGUGUAGCGGUGAAAUGCGUAGAGAUGUGGAGGAACACCAGUGGCGAAGGCGACUCUUUGGUCUGUAACUGACGCUGAGGCGCGAAAGCGUGGGGAGCAAACAGG